rnacentral:tRNA from 1 species
UCCCUGGUGGCUAAAUGGUGUAAGAAUCCAGCAUUGUCACUGCUGUGACUCAGGUUCAAUCCCUGGCCCAGGAA